rnacentral:rRNA from 1 species
AGGCCUAGGCGGGAGGCCUACACAUGCAGUCGAACGGUAGCACAGAAGGAGCUUGCUCCUUGGGUGACGAGUGGCGGACGGGUGAGUAAUGUCUGGGAAACUGCCCGAUGGAGGGGGAUAACUACUGGAAACGGUAGCUAAUACCGCAUAACGUCGCAAGACCAAAGAGGGGGACCUUCGGGCCUCUUGCCAUCGGAUGUGCCCAGAUGGGAUUAGCUAGUAGGUGGGGUAACGGCUCACCUAGGCGACGAUCCCUAGCUGGUCUGAGAGGAUGACCAGCCACACUGGAACUGAGACACGGUCCAGACUCCUACGGGAGGCAGCAGUGGGGAAUAUUGCACAAUGGGCGCAAGCCUGAUGCAGCCAUGCCGCGUGUAUGAAGAAGGCCUUCGGGUUGUAAAGUACUUUCAGCGAGGAGGAAGGUGUUGUGGUUAAUAACCGCAGCGAUUGACGUUACUCGCAGAAGAAGCACCGGCUAACUCUGUGCCAGCAGCCGCU